rnacentral:rRNA from 1 species
CCUACGGGAGGCAGCAGUGGGGAAUAUUGCACAAUGGGCGAAAGCCUGAUGCAGCGACGCCGCGUGAGGGAUGACGGCCUUCGGGUUGUAAACCUCUUUCAGCAGGGAAGAAGCGAGAGUGACGGUACCUGCAGAAGAAGCGCCGGCUAACUACGUGCCAGCAGCCGCGGUAAUACGUAGGGCGCAAGCGUUGUCCGGAAUUAUUGGGCGUAAAGAGCUCGUAGGCGGCUUGUCACGUCGGGUGUGAAAGCCCGGGGCUUAACCCCGGGUCUGCAUUCGAUACGGGCUAGCUAGAGUGUGGUAGGGGAGAUCGGAAUUCCUGGUGUAGCGGUGAAAUGCGCAGAUAUCAGGAGGAACACCGGUGGCGAAGGCGGAUCUCUGGGCCAUUACUGACGCUGAGGAGCGAAAGCGUGGGGAGCGAACAGGAUUAGAUACCCUGGUAGUCCACGCCGUAAACGGUGGGAACUAGGUGUUGGCGACAUUCCACGUCGUCGGUGCCGCAGCUAACGCAUUAAGUUCCCCGCCUGGGAGUACGGCCGCAAGGCUAAACUUAAAGGAAUUGACGG